UUGGGUUAGCCAAAAAAGUUCAUUUAGAUUUUUCCAUACCAUCUUAUAGAAAAACCUGAAUGAACUUUCUGGCCAGCCCAA
rnacentral:miRNA from 1 species